ensembl:lncRNA
CUCACAGCUCCGGCUCCUCUGCCUCAGUGGCUCCUGCUUGGCAGCCAGCACCUGCUAGGAGUUGGUUCUGUCCCAAGAGCCAAGAGAGGGCACUGAAGGGCCCAGGGAUCGAACUCAGGACCUUCUACUUGCCAGGCAGGCGCAGUGACACUGAGCUACAUCCCCAGGCCAAUUCUUCCAUUUUUAGAGGACAAGAACCCGGUGUAUCGUACCGCUAACAGGGGCUUCUUCCAGGAAGACUGCCUUGCUCCCUGACCUGAGAUAGUGGCCCCCACACCCAGGCUUCUCAAUGCGCACUGUCUCCUCUGCUUUCUCCCCAUGGAACUCAGCAUCUUUGAGGGCUGAGGCUGUGUCUCCUGCCC